UCCGAUUUGUCACCGGCAGUCUCGCUAGAGUGCCCACCAUAAUGUGCUGGCAACUAACGAUAAGGGUUGCGCUCGUUGCGGGACUUAACCCAACAUCUCACGACACGAGCUGACGACAACCAUGCACCACCUGUCUCCUUGCCCCGAAGGGAGACCGUAUCUCUACGGCUUUCAAGGGAUGUCAAGCCCUGGUAAGGUUCUUCGCGUUGCUUCGAAUUAAACCACAUACUCCACUGCUUGUGCGGGCCCCCGUCAAUUCCUUUGAGUUUCAACCUUGCGGCCGUACUCCCCAGGUGGGAUACUUAUUGUGUUAACUCCGGCACAGAAGGGGUCGAUACCUCCUACACCUAGUAUCCAUCGUUUACAGCGUGGACUAC
rnacentral:misc_RNA from 1 species